UACGUAGGGGGCUAGCGUUGUCCGGAAUCAUUGGGCGUAAAGCGCGUGUAGGCGGUCCGGUAAGUCCGCUGUGAAAGUCGAGGGCUCAACCCUCGAAUGCCGGUGGAUACUGUCGGGCUAGAGUGCGGAAGAGGCGAGUGGAAUUCCUGGUGUAGCGGUGAAAUGCGCAGAUAUCAGGAGGAACACCUAUUGCGAAGGCAGCUCGCUGGGACGUUACUGACGCUGAGACGCGAAAGCGUGGGGGAGCAAACAGG
rnacentral:rRNA from 1 species